UCCUGGGCCUAGAAGCUGCAGUGUUAUGAAGUUCAAAUGUGUGUGAAGACAUUUUGUGACCGCCAAGCCCCCACUGAACACACCAAGUUCUCACCUUCAGGACAGGCGUUGCUGAAGUGACAGGGAAGGAUAUUGUGGGCAGACGUCUGGGUGUCCAGUGCUGAACAGUCCCCCUUCUUUCACAGGCAAGCAUAGCUCCAGGACCCAUGGAAACACCAGAAGAGAGAGCACGUCCACUGGUCCAUGCAGGAUGGCCAGCAGAGGUGUUGGGCUACUGGGAACCCA
rnacentral:lncRNA from 1 species